rnacentral:rRNA from 1 species
GAAUUGACGGGGGCCCGCACAAGCAGCGGAGCAUGUGGUUUAAUUCGAAGCAACGCGAAGAACCUUACCAGGGCUUGACAUCCACAGAAUCGAGUAGAAAUACUUGAGUGCCUCGUAAGAGGAGCUGUGAGACAGGUGGUGCAUGGUUGUCGUCAGCUCGUGUCGUGAGAUGUUGGGUUAAGUCCCGCAACGAGCGCAACCCCUGUUGGUAGUUACCAGCGUAAAGACGGGGACUCUACCGAGACUGCCGUGGAUAACACGGAGGAAGGUGGGGAUGACGUCAAAUCAUCAUGCCCUUUAUGCCCUGGGCUGCACACGUGCUACAAUGGCCUGAACAGAGGGCAGCGAAGGAGCGAUCCGGAGCGAAUCCCAGAAAACAGGUCCCAGUUCAGAUUGCAGGCUGCAACCCGCCUGCAUGAAGACGGAGUUGCUAGUAAUCGCGGAUCAGCAACGCCGCGGUGAAUGCGUUCCCGGGCCUUGUACACACCG